ACUUGGUGAACAACCCAAAAAUGAGCCCUUCAAUGAUGAUAUUGCACAGUUUGAGGUCCCUAUUGUUGUGAUCCAUCCUGUUCCAAGUCCAGUAAGAAAUGAAGGGAUAUGAAGAUAUCAAAUGAAGAGGAACGCUAGAGUUGCAAACAUUUAUCCCAACGUCCAAUUAAGAGUCCUCUAGUGGUGGUUCGCCCUCGAAUAACUAUAAAAGACGCACAGGAGAAGUUAUCAGUAUAGCUGUCGGAUGUGCAAGUGGACUACUGAUACUCGCAUCCAUUUUCUAUCUAUGGUGGAUGAAAGAUGCACCUAGCCAUAUGCGAGUGUACACAGACUCACCAGAUUUGUAUUU